GAUGAACGCUGGCGGCGUGCCUAAUACAUGCAAGUCGAGCGAACAGACGAGGAGCUUGCUCCUCUGACGUUAGCGGCGGACGGGUGAGUAACACGUGGAUAACCUACCUAUAAGACUGGGAUAACUUCGGGAAACCGGAGCUAAUACCGGAUAAUAUAUUGAACCGCAUGGUUCAAUAGUGAAAGACGGUUUUGCUGUCACUUAUAGAUGGAUCCGCGCCGCAUUAGCUAGUUGGUAAGGUAACAGCUUACCAAGGCAACGAUGCGUAGCCGACCUGAGAGGGUGAUCGGCCACACUGGAACUGAGACACGGUCCAGACUCCUACGGGAGGCAACAGUAGGGAAUCUUCCGCAAUGGGCGAAAGCCUGACGGAGCAACGCCGCGUGAGUGAUGAAGGUCUUCGGAUCGUAAAACUCUGUUAUUAGGGAAGAACAAAUGUGUAAGUAACUAUGCACGUCUUGACGGUACCUAAUCAGAAAGCCACGGCUAACUACGUG
rnacentral:rRNA from 1 species